CCUACGGGGUGCAGCAGUGAGGAAUAUUGGUCAAUGGACGAGAGUCUGAACCAGCCAAGUCGCGUGAAGGAUGACUGCUCUAUGGGUUGUAAACUUCUUUUAUAUGGGAAUAAAAUGUUCCACGUGUGGGAUUUUGUAUGUACCAUAUGAAUAAGGAUCGGCUAACUCCGUGCCAGCAGCCGCGGUAAUACGGAGGAUCCGAGCGUUAUCCGGAUUUAUUGGGUUUAAAGGGUGCGUAGGCGGCUCGUUAAGUCAGUGGUAAAAUUGAGGGGCUCAACCCUUGCCCGCCGUUGAAACUGGGGCUCUUGAGUGGAAGAGAGGUAUGCGGAAUGCGUGGUGUAGCGGUGAAAUGCAUAGAUAUCACGCAGAACCCCGAUUGCGAAGGCAGCAUGCCGAGUUCCGACUGACGCUGAAGCACGAAAGCGUGGGGAUCGAACAGGAUUAGAUACCCGGGUAGUC
rnacentral:rRNA from 1 species